rnacentral:rRNA from 1 species
AACGAACGCUGGCGGCGUGCUUAACACAUGCAAGUCGAACGGAACGGCCCUGCCUAUGUGGGGAGCUCGAGUGGCGAACGGGUGAGUAACACGUGAGUACCCUGUAACUGACUGUAGGAUAUCUUCAGGCAACUGGGGCUAAUACCGGAUAGGAGCUCCCGCUGCAUGGUGGGGGUUGGAUAGUUUCGGCUGUUGGGGAUGGACAAGCGGCUCAUGAGCUUGAUGGUGGGGUAGUGGCUUAGCAAGGCCUGGAAGGGUAGCCUGGCUGGUAGGGUGACCUGCCACGCUGCGACUGGGAUACGGCCCAGACUCCUACGGGAGGCAGCAGUGCGGUAGAGUGUAUUAGGGGCGGAAGCCUGAUGCAGCAACGCCGUGUGCGGUGUGACGUCCUUCGGGUUGUAUUCCACUUUCGCCUGUGACGAAGCGUGAGUGACGGUAAUGGGUAAAGAAGCACCGGCUAACUACGUG